UACGGGGGGAGCAAGCGUUGUUCGGAUUUACUGGGCGUAAAGGGCGCGUAGGCGGCCAGCGCAAGUCAGUUGUGAAAUCUCCGGGCUUAACUCGGAACGGUCAAGUGAUACUGUCGUGCUAGAGUACAGAAGGGGGCAACUGGAAUUCUCGGUGUAGCGGUGAAAUGCGUAGAUAUCGAGAGGAACACCUGCGGCGAAGGCGGGUUUGCUGGGCUGAUACUGACGCUGAGGCGCGAAAGCUAGGGGAGCGAACGGGG
rnacentral:rRNA from 1 species